UAUUCAGUCUUGAAUACACAUCAUCACAACUAUCUACAGCUAGAGGACUACAAAUACUAUAGGAUGAUGAGGUGACAAUAUUAUUGGUUACCUUGUCACCAGUUACAUCAACAGGUUUUGAAAAUGACUGCCAAAAAGUUUAUAAGCUGCAACAUUUUAAGUAAAUUUUAUUAUUAAUGAAUACACAGAAAUUGAAAGUAAACUCAUGGCUUCAACCUUUAUACCAAACCUCCACUCAAGAGAGCAGCAUGGUUUCCAGCGAUGGUUAAACAUUUCCACCAAGAAGCCUUAGUGAAAUUGGAAAGUAAUUGGAAGACAAAACAGAAAGAAAAGGAACCUGACAUCAAAAUAGAGAUUUUGUAACGGCUUAAGAACAGAGACCAGUUUGGAAGAUCAAGAGCCAUUAGGUUACAGAACUGUGAGUGAAUGUCACAUGCAUUUUAACUAGUAUUCCUUCAUUGUUUGAAGAACAAGUGUUCAGACAAUUCAUUCCUCAUGUCACAGAAUGGGCUAUAGAUGAUGAUAGGAUUCUCUCCUGGACCACGCUCUGGUCAUACUCCUCUGAGAUCCCUUUUUGAUUAGGCCCCAACUUGGGUUCUGUUCUUGGCCUAGUUAGUUCAAUUAGGCAAGAAUUCUGCUGGUUCAGUUUAACGAAAAUCCCUUAUCUUUGAUAUCUAAUCAAAUUUCUUAUCCCCCCCACAUUCAGUAUCUUAUCACCCUGGCUGCAUUCAGCAAGAAUUUUGCUAAGUCAGUUUAGCCAGAAUCCCUUCGAGGUUUCCUCUCUAGUAAUUUUCCACCCACUGACCAUCACUUAUCCAAAAUCCCCACUUAUCCUGGUAUUCAGAAUGCAGCCCCGUUCUAUACUGAGGUCUCUCUGUCCCCAGUGCAAUAGUUCCUGAAUAAAAUUUGCCUUCA
rnacentral:lncRNA from 1 species